rnacentral:rRNA from 1 species
CAUGCAAGUCGAACGAGAAUCUACUGAAAGAGUUUUCGGACGAUGAAAGUAGAGGAAAGUGGCGGACGGGUGAGUAACGCGUGAGGAACCUGCCUUGAAGAGGGGGACAACAGUUGGAAACGACUGCUAAUACCGCAUGAAGCAUAGGGGUCGCAUGAUUCUUAUGCCAAAGAUUUAUCGCUUCAAGAUGGCCUCGCGUCUGAUUAGCUAGUUGGCGGGGUAACGGCCCACCAAGGCGACGAUCAGUAGCCGGACUGAGAGGUUGAACGGCCACAUUGGGACUGAGAUACGGCCCAGACUCCUACGGGAGGCAGCAGUGGGGAAUAUUGGGCAAUGGGCGCAAGCCUGACCCAGCAACGCCGCGUGAAGGAAGAAGGCUUUCGGGUUGUAAACUUCUUUUAAGAGGGAAGAGCAGAAGACGGUACCUCUAGAAUAAGCCACGGCUAACUACGUGCCAGCAGCCGCGGUAAUACGUAGGUGGCAAGCGUUGUCCGGAUUUACUGGGUGUAAAGGGCGUGCAGCCGGGUCUGCAAGUCAGAUGUGAAAUCCAUGGGCUCAACCCAUGAACUGCAUUUGAAACUGUAGAUCUUGAGUGUCGGAGGGGCAAUCGGAAUUCCUAGUGUAGCGGUGAAAUGCGUAGAUAUUAGGAGGAACACCAGUGGCGAAGGCGGAUUGCUGGACGAUAACUGACGGUGAGGCGCGAAAGUGUGGGGAGCAAACAGGAUUAGAUACCCUGGUAGUCCACACUGUAAACGAUGAAUACUAGGUGUGCGGGGACUGACCCCCUGCGUGCCGCAGUAAACACAAUAGGUAUUCCACCUGGGG